AAUAGAUACCCCGGUAGUCCACGCCCUAAACGAUGUCAACUAGUUGUCGGGGUCUUAACGGGGCUUGGGUAACGCAGCUAACGCGUGAAGUUGACCGCCUGGGGAGUACGGUCGCAAGAUUAAAACUCAAAAGGAAUUGACGGGGACCCGCGACAAGCGGUGGAUUAUGUGGAUUAAUUCGAUGCAACGCGAAAGAACCUUACCUAACCCUUGACAUGUACCGAAGCCCGCUGAGAGGUGGGUGUGCCCGAAAGGGAGCGGUAACACAGGUGCUGCAUGGCUGUUCGUCAGCUCGUGUCGUGAGAUGUUGGGUUAAGUCCGCAACGAGCGCAACCCUUCGUCUAUUAAUUGCCAUCAUUCAGUUGGGUCACUUUAAUAGAAACUGCCGGUGACAAACCGGGAGGAAGGUGGGGAGUAGACGGUACUAACGUCCUCAUGGCCGUUAUGGGUAGGGUCUUCUACACGUAAUACAAUGGCGCGUACGAGAGGGUUACGCCGAACCCGGACGGAGGGGGAGCGUAAUCUCAGAAGCGCGUCGUAGUCCGGAGUCGGAGUCUGCAACUCGACUCGUGAGUAC
rnacentral:rRNA from 1 species